rnacentral:lncRNA from 1 species
GAAACUCUGGUGAAGAGUCCCACUUGAUGGGGACUCUGCUGAAGAGUCCCACUAGAUGGGGACUCUAGAAAAGAAUCUCACUAGAUUUGGAUUCUAUCAUUAAUGAAGGAUUAAUUAGUGAUUAGAUUACUAAUUAGCUAAAUUUAAUUGAGUAUUAAUGUCUAAAUCAAGUCUGAUUGAAUUUGAUUCAAUCAGGUCAAGUCUGAUUAGAUAUGAGAUGACCUAAUCGGUUUGAAAGAAAUGAUCCUGAUU